rnacentral:lncRNA from 1 species
UUAUAAAUUUGAUGAUAACAAUUAGUGGAAAUUCUUCACAUUUUUUUUUUAUCUAUGAACGAAUAGAGUUUCGUGUUUAAUAGAAGAAACAUGACUUUGAUGAACGCUAAAUAUGAAAGAAUAUAAUAAUUUAUUUUUUGUGCUUCGUGCUUCUGUUUUUUUUUUUUAUCAAAAUUUUGAGCUUUGAUUUUAAUUAUAG